rnacentral:piRNA from 1 species
GUAAGACACCUGGAAUAUAGCAAUUCGAC